GUUAACGCUGGCGGCGUGCCUAACACAUGCAAGUCGAACGGUUCUAAGCGCGAGCUUAGGAUAGUGGCGAACGGGUGAGUAAAAGGUAGGAAUCUACCCCUUGGACGGAGAUAGCUACUGGAAACGGUAGGUAAACUUCGAUAAGCCCGAGAGGGGAAAGUGGUGAGACAGCCGAGGGAUGAGCCUACUCUCCAUCAGGUAGUUGGUGAGAUAAAAGCUUACCAAGCCGAUGACGGAUAACCGGUGUGAGAGCAUGAACGGUCACAAGGGCACUGAGAGACGGGCCCUACUCCUACGGGAGGCAGCAGUGGGGAAUCUUGGACAAUGGGCGAAAGCCUGAUCCAGCGACGCCGCGUGGAGGAAGAAGUCCUUCGGGAUGUAAACUUCUGAACUAGCCGAAUAGAAGGCCUGUGGACACACAGGAGAAGAAAGUAGGCUAGGAAAAGUCCCGGCUAACUACGUG
rnacentral:rRNA from 1 species